rnacentral:rRNA from 1 species
UACGGAGGGUGCGAGCGUUGUUCGGAAUUACUGGGCGUAAAGCGCGUGCAGGCGGUCGAUUAAGUCCGGUGUGAAAGCCCGGGGCUCACCCCCGGAAGUGCGCUGGAAACUGGUCGACUAGAGUACGGGAGAGGGAAGUGGAAUUCCUGGUGUAGCGGUGAAAUGCGUAGAUAUCAGGAGGAACACCAGCGGCGAAGGCGGCUUCCUGGACCGAUACUGACGCUGAGACGCGAAAGCGUGGGGAGCAAACAGG